CGAUCGCAAGCUCGCUGCGAACAACGUCAAAACGGCAUCAAAAUCAUUAUAUAUAACAAAUAUCGUCGGAAUCUUGCAAUUUCAGCUUCCUAACUGAAUUUCUUACUUACCUCAGGGUAGAACACCUUCUAAACCAGCCUCCUAGGUCACCAAAUAAGCUCCACGUGGUUCAAAAACCUGCUGCGAAGACACAAUGCCCAAAUUGCAUCAAUUCGAUAGAAUAACCCGCGUAUAGUCCGAAAUAGCUUCGUAAUUAGCGAAACAUCUCUAAUAAGCUUC
rnacentral:lncRNA from 1 species